ACUGAGUUUGAUCCUGGCUCAGGACGAACGCUGGCGGCGUGCUUAACACAUGCAAGUCGAACGAUGAUGCCCAGCUUGCUGGGCGGAUUAGUGGCGAACGGGUGAGUAAUACGUGAGUAACCUGCCCUUGACUCUGGGAUAAGCCUGGGAAACUGGGUCUAAUACUGGAUACUACCUCUUACCGCAUGGUGGGUGGUGGAAAGGGUUUUACUGGUUUUGGAUGGGCUCACGGCCUAUCAGCUUGUUGGUGGGGUAAUGGCUCACCAAGGCGACGACGGGUAGCCGGCCUGAGAGGGUGACCGGCCACACUGGGACUGAGACACGGCCCAGACUCCUACGGGAGGCAGCAGUGGGGAAUAUUGCACAAUGGGCGGAAGCCUGAUGCAGCGACGCCGCGUGAGGGAUGACGGCCUUCGGGUUGUAAACCUCUUUCAGUAGGGAAGAAGCGAGAGUGACGGUACCUGCAGAAGAAGCG
rnacentral:rRNA from 1 species